rnacentral:tRNA from 1 species
GGAGCAGUGGCCGAGCGGCUGAAGGCGACGGUCUUGAAAAUCGUUGUACCGAAAGGUACCGGGGGUUCGAAUCCCUCCUGCUCCG